UACGUAGGAUGCAAGCGUUGUUCGGAAUUACUGGGCGUAAAGCGCGCGCAGGCGGUCUUCCAAGUCAGUGGUGAAAGCCCGGAGCUCAACUCCGGAACUGCCAUUGAAACUGUGAGACUGGAGUACGAGAGAGGUGAGUGGAAUUCCCAGUGUAGAGGUGAAAUUCGUAGAUAUUGGGAAGAACACCGGUGGCGAAGGCGGCUCACUGGCUCGUAACUGACGCUCAGGCGCGACAGCGUGGGGAUCGAAACAGG
rnacentral:rRNA from 1 species